rnacentral:rRNA from 1 species
GAUGAACGCUGGCGGCGUGCUUAACACAUGCAAGUCGAACGGAAAGGCUCCUGCUUGCAGGGGUACUCGAGUGGCGAACGGGUGAGUAACACGUGGGUGAUCUGCCCUGCACUUCGGGAUAAGCCUGGGAAACUGGGUCUAAUACCGGAUAGGACGAUGGUUUGGAUGCCAUUGUGGAAAGUUUUUCGGUGUGGGAUGAGCUCGCGGCCUAUCAGCUUGUUGGUGGGGUAAUGGCCUACCAAGGCGUCGACGGGUAGCCGGCCUGAGAGGGUGUACGGCCAUAUUGGGACUGAGAUACGGCCCAGACUCCUACGGGAGGCAGCAGUGGGGAAUAUUGCACAAUGGGCGCAAGCCUGAUGCAGCGACGCCGCGUGGGGGAUGACGGCCUUCGGGUUGUAAACUCCUUUCGCUAGGGACGAAGCGCAAGUGACGGUACCUGGAGAAGAAGCACCGGCUAACUACGUG